GACGAACGCUGGCGGCGUGCUUAACACAUGCAAGUCGAACGGAAAGGCCCUGCUUGCAGGGUACUCGAGUGGCGAACGGGUGAGUAACACGUGAGUGAUCUGCCCUGCACUUCGGGAUAAGCCUGGGAAACUGGGUCUAAUACCGGAUAGGAGCCAUUUUUAGUGUGAUGGUUGGAAAGUUUUUUCGGUGUAGGAUGAGCUCGCGGCCUAUCAGCUUGUUGGUGGGGUAAUGGCCUACCAAGGCGGCGACGGGUAGCCGGCCUGAGAGGGUGGACGGCCACAUUGGGACUGAGAUACGGCCCAGACUCCUACGGGAGGCAGCAGUGGGGAAUAUUGCACAAUGGGCGCAAGCCUGAUGCAGCGACGCCGCGUGGGGGAUGACGGCCUUCGGGUUGUAAACUCCUUUCGCUAGGGACGAAGCUUUUGUGACGGUACCUAGAUAAGAAGCACCGGCUAACUACGUG
rnacentral:rRNA from 1 species